CAGUAAAGCCAAAGAAAAGAGACCGUCAUGUGAAUGAUACACCAGUGUGCAUAAGCGGCACCGCCAGAGUGAAUUUCAGCAGGUUGAUCGGGUUUUGGGCUGUCGUGUUAGAGAGAAGCAGGACAGACAUCGACAUAGUACUUCUGGCGAAAUCAACUUAGAUGUAGGAGACAGGGCUGGACUUGCUGAUGACAGACAAGCUGAUAUGAGCAUUGACAGUGAUAUCAAACUGCACAAUCUGAAUGUUUUUCAGUGGUUAUUCUCUCAUUGGCUGGAAUUUUAAUGGUAAAGCUGGAGGAAGAGUCGAAAACUGUAAAACUUGGUUGACAACAUUUCAUCUUUCUUCUAUUGAGGUUGAAAGAUGUUGUGAUUUGAGCAGGAGGAGCCCCAUAUCCAUUGCAGCAGCUGCUAUCUGAUGAGAAGAAGUCUCCCCAAGAUAUAUCACUUGCUACUAGAGUCACCGAGGGGAUGGUUAGGAACUCCUCCAAGGAUCUGUAUCCUCACAUUUUGAAGAUAAAUACCAAGCUGGUAUGGCAAGGAAGAGGAUCUAAAGAAUUUCUGCAGCUUUUGAGUGUGUAGAUAUACAAACAAAAUCGACAUUAGUUAACUUUUAGUUAGUUUUGGAAAUCAGAACAAUCUUGAAUUUUUAAUUCUUGUUAUAAAGAAUAUGGUGGUUCUUAAUUCUCACUCUUUGU